rnacentral:lncRNA from 1 species
CCGCACUGCAGGCGGUGCCUCCAAGGCCUCAUCAUGUGUUCAACAUGCUGAAGAAGUACGUCCGUGCAGAGCAGAAGGACAGACAGCACACCCUAAAGCAUUUUGAACAUGUGCGCAUGGUGGACCCCAAGAAAGCUGCUCAGAUCCGGUCCCAGGUUAUGACACACCUCCGUGUGAUCUACGAGCGCAUGAACCAGUCUCUGUCCCUGCUCUACAACGUCCCUGCCGUGGCUGAGGAGAUUCAAGAUGAAGUUGGUAAGUGAGCUGUCCUUCCGAUGUUCUUUGUGAGAUGGGCUUUCUUCCAGGACAAAACAGGGCCGGGAAUCUUCUCUCUCAGUCACCCAUGCCCAUGUGCCUACAAGUUGUAAAGAACAUUUUUGUGGCACCCCACAAUGGUUGUGGUUGCACAUGUAUGUGAG